UUGGCUUUCGCAUCGAUGAAGAACAUAGCUAAAUGCGAUACUUGGUGUGAAUUGCAGAAUCUCGUGAACCAUCGAGUCUUUGAACGCAAGUUGCGCCCAAAGCCAUUAGGUCGAGGGCACGCCUGCCUAGGCGUCACAC
rnacentral:rRNA from 1 species